GCCGGGCAUGGAGGCUCAUGCCUGUAAUCUCAACACUUUGGGAGGCUGAGGCGGGCGGAUCACUUGAGGUCAGGAGUUUGAGACUAGCCUGGCCAACAUAGUGAAACCCCGUCUCUA
rfam:Gorilla gorilla gorilla genomic chromosome, chr22, whole genome shotgun sequence